CCUACGUGAGGCUGCAGUGGGGAAUAUUACACAAUGGGCGCAAGCCUGAUGCAGCGACGCCGCGUGGGGGAUGACGGCCUUCGGGUUGUAAACUCCUUUCGUUAGGGACGAAGCCACACUUUUUUUGGGUGUGGUGACGGUACCUUUGUUAAGAAGCACCGGCUAACUACGUGCCAGCAGCCGCGGUAAUACGUAGGGUGCGAGCGUUGUCCGGAAUUACUGGGCGUAAAGAGCUCGUAGGUGGUUUGUUGCGUCGUCUGUGAAAUUCCGGGGCUUAACUUCGGGGUGGCAGGCGAUACGGGCAUAACUAGAGUGCUGUAGGGGAGACUGGGAUUCCUGGUGUAGCGGUGGAAUGCGCAGAUAUCAGGAGGAACACCGAGGGCGAAGGCAGGUCUCUGGGCAGUAACUGACGCUGAGGAGCGAAAGCAUGGGGAGCGAACAGGAUUAGAUACCCGGGUAGUC
rnacentral:rRNA from 1 species